rnacentral:rRNA from 1 species
UACGUAGGGGGCAAGCGUUGUCCGGAUUUAUUGGGCGUAAAGCGCACGCAGGCGGUCUGCCGAGUUCGGAGUGACAGUUUCCGGCUUAACCGGAAAAGGUCUUCGAAAACUGGUGGACUUGAGGACUUGAGGGGGAGACGGAAUUCCGGGUGGAGCGGUGAAAUGCGUAGAGAUCCGGAGGAACACCGAAGGCGAAGGCAGUCUCCGGGCAAGUUACUGACGCGCAGGUGCGAAAGCUAGGGGAGCGAACAGG